rnacentral:rRNA from 1 species
GGAGUUAGCCGGUGCUUCUUCUGUGAGUGAUGUCCUUCCUGCCGGCUAUUAACCCGCAGGCCUUCUUCCUCACUGAAAGUUCUUUACAACCCGAAGGCCUUCUUCACACACGCGGCAUGGCUGGAUCAGGGUUGCCCCCAUUGUCCAAUAUUCCCCACUGCUGCCUCCCGUAGGAGUCUGGGCCGUGUCUCAGUCCCAGUGUGGCUGAUCAUCCUCUCAGACCAGCUACGGAUCGUCGCCUUGGUGAGCCGUUACCUCACCAACCAGCUAAUCCGACAUAGGCUCAUCCGAUAGCGCGAGGCCCGAAGGUCCCCCGCUUUCCCCCGUAGGGCGUAUGCGGUAUUAGCCUGGGUUUCCCCAGGUUAUCCCCCACUACCGGGCAGAUUCCUAUGCAUUACUCACCCGUCCGCCGCUCGCCACCAGGGAGCAAGCUCCCCGUGCUGCCGCUCGACUUGCAUGUGUUAGGCCUGCCGCCAGCGUUCAAUCUGAGCCAUAAUCAAACUCUGA